UUUAGUUUCAGAGCGCCGGCUCUAGGCGCCUGGGCUUCAGUAGCUGCGGGUCCCGGGCUCUAGAGCACAGACUCACUGGUUGUGGCACAGGCUCUUAGUUUCUCCGAGGCACGUGGGAUCCUUCUGGAUCAGGGAUUGAACCUGUGUCAUCUGCAUUCACAGGCGGAUUCCUUGCUGCUGAGCCACAAGGGAAGCCCAUGGACUAGUCUUAAGGCUAUGGCAAGGAGCCUAUUUUUUUUGGCCGGACCAUGCGGCAUGCAGGAUCAUAUAGUUCCCCAACCAGGGAUUGAACCCAAGCCACCAGAAGUCCUAACCUAGCCAUUGGAGUCCUAACCACUGGACACCAGGGCAGUCCCUCACCUUCUCACCUGAUGCCCACCUGGGCCCGUACUGUGCUCAGCCCACACUUCAUCUUAGGAUCACCUGGGGAGCUGUAAACCUAUCUCCCACACUAGGCUGCAGCCGGGUCCUCUGACAUCAGAAGCUGGGGUGAGGCCCAGGUGGGAGCCUGUGUGGAGGACUAGCAUUUGUUGAAAGAAAGGAUGGGGUAAGGCGGCUCUGACCCUGAGCUCGAGUCCCAGCUGUGGCCCUUCCUGGAUGCCAUCUAAGGCUUAUCCUCAGCGUGGUGGCAUCUGGCUGACUCCCAGAAUAUCCAUUCCCUCCUUGUCCCUGGAUCUUCAUUCCCAGACCAAGGAUCAAACCCAUAUCUCCAUCAGUGAAAGUGUGGAGUCCUAACCACAGGACCACCAGGGAAAUCCCUGAAGGCUGCUACUUUUAUGGUCCAAACCGGUG